rnacentral:rRNA from 1 species
UACGGAGGGUGCGAGCGUUAAUCGGAAUUACUGGGCGUAAAGCGCGCGUAGGCGGUUUGUUAAGUCGGAUGUGAAAGCCCCGGGCUCAACCUGGGAACUGCACCCGAUACUGGCCGACUUGAGUGCGAGAGAGGGAGGUAGAAUUCCAUGUGUAGCGGUGAAAUGCGUAGAUAUAUGGAGGAAUACCGGUGGCGAAGGCGGCCUCCUGGCUCGACACUGACGCUGUGGUGCGAAAGCGUGAGUAGCAAACAGG